rfam:Erinaceus europaeus unplaced genomic scaffold scaffold00565, whole genome shotgun sequence
GAGGUAAGCUCUACCAUGGGAUAUGAAUUUGGUAAACAAGACUUCUUUAUUAAAGGACUCAAGGAGUCCCUCAAGACACGAGGAGUAAGGGUUAAGAAAAAGUAUCUCAAGAAGUUUUUUUUAUUUUGUAAGUGAUGUUUGUCUGU